rnacentral:lncRNA from 1 species
CCGAUUCAGGGGGGCGGGCGGGCAGCCGCGCUGUGGUGGGUGACCGUGGCUUGUGUGCCUCCCUUUGCCAACAACGACAGCAUUUUCGCUAGGUUUUGGCUUUAAUUUGGUUGGAUGUGUCCAGGUGAGGAGAGCACUGGUGGAGGUGAGCAGCCCCGAUCCUAAUCCUUUCAGCUUCAGUCACUUUUCUCUUGGUUUUGCUUCGCCGUGUUCUUCCCGGAUUAUUAAAUUAGUGUUCCGUUUUUACGGAGGCUGUAGGCCAGACAGAUCACGACUGUACGUGCUGCCCGAAGAGGUAAUCCGAUUCUUGUUUGUCUUCUAAGGAAAAAAAUGCAUAUUCUUGUUUGUUUUCUAUCUCCAAAUACGAAUGUAUUUUUAGACAGGGAAUAUUCUAUCUGCUGUCUGUUCUAGUCCAUCAGUCCAUGUUGAGAUGGAGCAGCGCUUGUGUAGAAUUUUUGUGCUCUGUGAUUGGAAGCAUCAAAUGCUCCGUAAUGGCUAAGAUUUUGUCAGGUAGAAGUAAGGUGAUGUAGGGAGAAUAUUUGGUUUGUUGUUUAAAGUGCUUAAGCUCUGGAUCCAUGAUGAAGAUUUGCAGUUUUGUUUUAGUCAGCUGGGCCUAGGGGAAACCAUUCAACUUUUUACAUGUUUCGAAUUUAAUUAACAAGAUUUGUUUGAAUGGGUUUGGAGUUUAGGCUCGUUGUUUCAAGAAAUGCACCUAUGAGGAAUUGAUUUUAGUUAGCUUUUCUGUGGAUAUAAGUAUGUGUUUUCUUAGGACCACUCUAAUUUUUGCACUACGAUGUGGGUUCGCAGCAGGGCAGAGCAGUCAUAUAGUCAUCGGUGUCAUAGGUGUUCAUCGGCGUCAGGUUACGGUGACCAUUGGCAUGCUUCUUGAUGCACUACGAUGUGGGUUCGCAGCAGGGCAGAGCAGUCAUAUAGUCAUCGGUGUCAUAGGUGUUCAUCGGCGUCAGGUUACGGUGACCAUUGGCAUGCUUCUUGAUGCGGUCUGCAUCUCCUCCCACCACGACGGUCGGCAACCAUGUCUUCACCGCCGGAGCCCCUCUCCACCUAUUUAGAUGAGUGUGUGUCAAUUUAUUCUCCCAGGGAAGUACUUGCUCCAAUUUGGUUACAUUUAGUACGGAAUUUAGUUGUCUGGAUUUAGAUAUAUUACGUCCCCAUAUAUGCGGAGGCGAAUCAUUGUGUUUUCGAUUUUGAUCUCAGCCCCAAAUUUAUUUGUUUUGGCCAUAUCUAUGGUACGAGCUUAGUACUUGUUUCGAGCCGAGACGUACGGUGCUGCCCACCUAUCCCUUUCCAUACACUACCAUCAGUGACACCGUCGACUACGACGGUGGAUGCUUUGUUUUCUUGUAAGGAUACCUGCAUCCUCCUCCUCCUCCUCUUCCUUGUACGGAAAUCUAGGUUUACGAGAUUUCAUUUUCAUGUCUCCCUGACUCUCGUCCUCUCAGUUCUUCUGUUGUGUUGUGUUAUGUUAGGUGAUUGUAAAAUUGAGGAAAGGACCUUCACUAUGUACUAGUCCAUUGUAAUGUGCAUUCACUAAAGCUUACUAGCGCAACCUAUUAACAUAUGUACACUUUAGAGCAACUCUAGCAGACCCCGUAAAAUCCCGACCCGCAAAACGUGUUUGCAGUUUGACGAAGAUCUCGUUUGCGGGUCGAAAACGAGCGCGGCCGAUCAGAAACCGUAAAUGAAACUGCAUAAUUUGAAAAACAGUUUUGCACCAUAGUAGUUCAUCACAUACUACAUAUAUUACAUGAUCAAACACUACAAACACUAGUUCAUACUACAUACUACAUACUACAUCAGUACUAGUACUACAGGGGGUGGGGAUCUCACGGCGGCGAGCUCGCGGCCAUGGACGACGCCGUGGAGGAGCUCAAUCCUCCUCGCCGAAGCUGUCGAGGUCGAUGUACUUCUCCCUCUGCUCCUCGCGGAUGCGCCGCCACUCGUCGUCCUUCUCCUUGACAGCGAGGUUGGUCGCGCCCGCCUGCUGGAACACGAGGUCUUCGAGCUCCUCGUGGUGGCGCCGGCGCUCCGCCUCCUCGUGCAAGCUCCGCUCGGCAAUGGCGGCCGCGACCGCGUCGACAUCGGCGACGAAGUCCUCCGGCCCGAUGACUCCGCGGCUCCCGAGCUCCUCGGGCUCCUGCUUGACGGGGACGACCUCGAUCUCCUCCGGCUCCUCCGACCACUCCCUCUUCACGGGGAGAAGGCUGGCCCCGGAAGAGGAGGAGCUUGUAGUGUGGGAAGAUCUUGCCGCGGAGGACGAGCCCAUGGCCGAGGACGGCGUACGGCCGUGCCGACGGUCGUAUUCGUCCGUCUCGCGGAUGCGGAAGCUCGGCGGCGGCGAGAGGUCGCGGUUGGUCCACUUCCUCUCCCCGCGCUUCCUCGCGCCCUCCGACCGGACACGCCGCUCGCACUCAGGGUCGCUGUCGCUGCCAGCUCUGCUCCCGGAGCCGCGUCCGGAGCUCCACAUGUGGCCCCACAUGGCGGCUGGAGGCGGAAGGGGCUCGCCAGCAGCGAGAAAUGUGAGGAGGGGAGUGGGGAAUUGCGGAGCUCGGCGGCAGCGGGGGGAUAGGGUUUCGACCCGCAAACGCACCGCGAACCCGUAGAUAUACUGGUCGGGGCGGGCGGUUUGCGGGCCGCGGUAAAAAAAUUUACGGGCCGGGCGAGUAUACGGGCUCUGUUCUAGCCAGAAAAUUGGACCGAGCCCAUAUACUCGCCGAAAUUUUGCGGGUUUGCGGCUUUUGCGGGAUCUGCUAGAGUUGCUCUUAGCUGUUCAAGCAAAAGUUGUCUACACAAGUGUGGAAAGGACCUUCACUAUAUUGUCUGGUUUUCUUCAUGACUGUUACUGGUACAUAAAUGAAUAAACAUCUAUUUAUCAAUAAAAACAUAAUAAUAGUCAGUUGCAAUGUCAACCAGAAAAUGUAUCAUAAUCUUACAGGCUUUGUAUUCAAAAAUAAUCGCAUUCUUGCUUAAAAAUCAGUAAAUAUGAAAAAGAAACAAGGUUAAAGGCGGAAGCUCCCUCCUUCAACUUUAUGUUAUUACGUAGAAGUGAGUCAUAUGUGUGUGCCUAUGCCAAUCAUUGUACCACGGGAGAGUUCUCAAAAUCAGUAAAUAUGCCCAUCUGCUUGCCUACAAGAAUAUUUAUUCACAUCAUUUCUGUUUUGUGGUUUUCUGAAUUUGCUUCCUUGGAACACGGCGCUAUUAUUAUGUUUUAUGUUGCAGUGUUAUUCAUUAUCUUUAUUUUGUUGUGGAUGACAGUACACCCUGUUUCUUGGAAGCUGAAUCUCAUCUUAUCUGUCAAUCUGAAUUUUAUUAUGGAACAUUUGUAUUGUCCCUGAACGUCCCAACUAGAACGAGGGAAAAAGUAAAACUUUUUCAUCUACUUUCGUGUAUAACUUUGUUAUUUUUAUUUCAUCUUAAUUUGUACUAUCUAAAUAUUACUCCCUUCGUCUCAAAAGUUGAGACACUUAUUUUGAGACGGAGGGAGUAUAUAGCUGAUUCUCUCAGUAUAUUCACCACAUGAUGUUUUGUUGAACAGAAGGGUUCAGAAUGGAAACUAAGUUUCUUCAAGUACGAGCAUGGGUUUCAUGUAAGCAACCGGUUUCGGCGUUCCUCUUUAUAAAUCAUGAAAAGGUAAUUUUAGCAUUUUUGCCAUGUAGCACCGUCUACAAUAAAAAUCUACCAGCAGCGACCAAGGCGAGGUGUAGAACGGGACUAAGAGUACUUGGUCGAGCAUCUUCUGCCAUCGUCGAAAAUAAAGAACUCGGAGGUUUAUAGAAUCCAUUUUAUAAAUCGUCACGCUUGCAUCUUGAUUAUGUAUGGGAUUAUUCUGAGAUAUUGCCUCCAUUAAUUAUGUUAUAGAGAAGGAAUUUAUCUUGUGUUAAAUGGAAGAGGUUGAAGACUAUGGUUGUCUACAAGCAUACUUUGUCCUUUAUCCUGGUAUUGCCUCAUUGACUAUCCCCCCGAGAUGCGUUUGGAUAUGAAGAAACGAAGCAACAUUUGGCCGCACUUCAUCCAAAACCAACUAUUUACUUUGUCCUUUAUCCUAUAAUAAUGUAGAAUCUUGAGAUCAGAGUUAGUCAGCCACCAUGGAGGUUGACGAGAUGACCUUCAGGAUCGUUUAACGGAAAUAAUGUAACAAAAGAAUUUGGAAUAUGCCGUGUAAUUUAAUACAUUUGACCAUCGUUACACAUCUUAAUUCCUACGCUGACGGUACAUUCAAUUGGUGGACCAUGUGUUGGUGAAUGGUGAUACUCUUG